AUGGGAUAAUACACCGAACUCCAGGGAAAGGAUGCCCAGUGCUUGGUUUUGUUCAUUUCCAAGUCUUUGUCAGUUUUUGCUGACACCACAAACCCUCCUCUGGUUUCCCUGGUGACAGGGCUGCCUGACUCUCUGCCUUCUGUUUCUGGUCUGUCCUUACGGCAUAAGCUCCAUGUCCAUCUUCCCUCUGGGCUCUUCCCUUUGGUUCCAAAGAGCUUAUUGUAGAAGUUAAAAAAAACAUACAGUAAAGUGAUUAUCAUAAUCCUAAUUAUCCUCUAGGCAAUGCAGAAAAGAAAAAACAUAAGGAUAAACAUAUUGAGAUUUGCUCUUGCUCCAGCACAAUUCCCUGAAAGCCUUCUUCUAAGCCUGGUAUCCUGGGAGUGGCAGUGUUUUCAGCGUGGCAGACGGAGCAGUCAGGAAGCUGGGAGCCCAAACAGCGUGAGACAAAGCCACACAACAGAGGCCGCGCAUCAGUCGAAUAGCACUCCUAUUUACUUAUCUUUGGAGCCUCCCAGGAGGAAUAAAACAACAGAACUGGAGACCUGUUCGUGUGCUUUGGCCUUCCUGCCCAGGAUGGGAGGGUAAAGGUCUGGGUCAAGGAAAGUGCUCCCGGUGCCUGUGGUCCAUAGAGUGGAGUGAGUCUCUAAGCAAAUCUGGAGGGACUCUGGGAGCUGAAGAUUCAGAAUAUCUCCACUUAUUCUUGCCACAGCCUUUGCUGCUCAACUGUUGGGUGCCAUGAUGUUGGUGUCUCGCUCUGUUGCCAGGCUGGAGUGCAGUAGCGCAAUCUCAGCUCACCGGAAACUCCGCCUCCUGGGUUCAAGUGAUUCUUCUGCCUCAGCCUCCUGAGUAGCUGGGAUUACAGGGACAGGAAUCAGAUGGGCAUAGGGCAUCUGGUCCAUGAUCAUCCUUUGUUCGUGCUGAUCUCCGAUGAAAUAUCUGAAGAAGAAGGAGAACACCAUGUGAAGCUGGAGGCAGAGAUUGGAGUGACACGCCUACAAACUGAGGGGCACCAAAGACCACCAGCAACCACCAGAAGCUGGAAGAGGCAUGGAACAGAUGACCACAAGAGCCUCCAGAAGGAACCAACCAUGCUGACACCUUGAUUUUGGACUUCCAGCCUCUCAAAUUGCACUGUUCUAAGCACAUUAGUUGCAUUACUUCAUUUGAACGUCAUAAAAAUAUUUUUAGAUAAGUAUCUUUGUUAUCACCAUGUAACAGAUACAGAAAUGGAAGCAUACAGAGGUUAACUUGCUCAUGGUCAGUUACUAAAUGGUGGAGUUAGGUGUCAUAACCAGGCAGAAUGGCUUUAAAGCAGUGCUUUUAACUGUAGUAAUUUAUUAAUAUUAAUAUAACACAUUGGUAUUUAUUAUUAAUAUAGUAAUAGAUGUAUAAACAAUUGACAGUUUGAUAGAUGACUGUGGCCAAGUGUGCUGUUUAAAAAUUUUUUUUAUUGAUAUAUAAGAGUUGUACAGAUUUUUGGGGUAUAUGUGAUAUUCGGAUACCUACAUGCAACGUGUAAUGAUCAAAACAGGGUAAUUGGGAUGUCCAUCACAAGUCUGCCAUGGGAUUCUCAAUUCAUUUUUUUUCUUCCUGGCUGCUUGGCUCAGAGUACACGUCCCAGCAUCCCUUGCAGUGAAAUGUAGUCAGGAGACCAGAUACACCAAUGGAACAGGAGUAGAAGUAAUGCGUGCAACUUCUGUAUUCCAUGGUUAAUAAGCAGUAUCCAGUCCUGGACUUCGCCUGUUUCCUCCCACUGAUUGGAUACGGUUGACAACCGGGUUUGCCUCAGAAGCCUCACAUUGAGGUUCUCCCACCCCAGCCUGGUUCCCAUGAUGCUUUUAUGAAGCAGAGGCUGCCUACCUGCCUUGCAGUGUUCUGGGAGAGAGUCUUCAAUUUCCUGGCCCUUUACGUGAUUGAAUUGUUGAGUCUCUGUUAUGGAGCCCUUACUCCAACUAAUAUAGUGACUUUUCUCCCCCCUUUCAUAGAAUCAAAUAAUUUUUUCCUUUAAAGGUAAUCCAGACUAACUUUUGAAUCUGUCACCUGAUAGAGCACAUGCUGAAGACCUUUACUUGUAGAUGGCUGACUUCCUACUGAGUCUGCCUAUUCUAUAUUUAAAAGCUCUAUUAUUAGAAUGUUUUCCGAAGUUUAAAUUCUAAGCUAAAAUGCAAUUCACAUGCAUGGCUCCAGUGCUCCUUGAGGCCAUACAAAACAAUUGUGAUUCCCUGCCCUACAUCAAGAGCCUUCCAUUUUCUGAAAACAAUAGUCAUGUCCCAUGGAUGCUCUCCUGGGCUAAAUGUUCUCCAUUCCUUCAAGCUUUCUUGUUUUGAGAUCCACGUACCUACUUCUGACUAUACUCCUGGGUGUCUGUGGUCCUUGAAACAUAGUGAUUCAGGACAAAUGCCAACCUUGCUACACGUGUGGUUUGCCCAGCUUGGAAAACAACAGAAUAAUCACCUCUUAUUUUCUUUUCCACGCUUAUUUUCAUUCAUCUUGAUAUAAAUUCAACAUACUUUCUGUGUGUUCCAUGAUCUUCAGAACUUGCAGAUAUGGUUUCAGUAUAUGCUAGGCAUGGCUGAUUUACUUUGAUCCUUCUGAGGCCUGCACUGUCUUAUUGUCCUGUCUGAGGAAAACUGAUUUUGGGACACAAGUUCAGGACUUAACAAAUAUCCCUCUUUAAUCCCAUACUGUGCCAUUUACUUCCCACACUGUCCAGGAAACACUGCUCCCUCUCGAUCCUGCCAUCUGAUAUUUUUUCCCAGGAAGAUGAUUGAGCAGUAGAAAGAGUUUUGACAGAGAGCCUCUAGAAAAUAAUAAAUAAGCUUUAAUUUGUCAUUCACCAACCCCAACACUGGCAAGCCACAUACCACAUCAUUUAUCAUCAACCUAGUAUUUAGUUUAUGUGCACAAAAAGAACAUUUUUAAUACCAGAGAUGACUUACUUGACCUUGCAAACCGUGUUACUUAGACUAUUAUUGUAUUUAGUGAUGGGUUAUUAAAAAAAUCAUGCCUUAUACAAUAGAACACCUUUAAGUCUCUAUCUUAGGUUUGAAUAAUUUCCUGAUAGGUAGUAAAGGAAACAGUUCAGUUAAUCAAAAUUAAAGAUACUUUAGAGAGUCUGAAUGGAAUAAAUGGAUGUGGCAUAUGAGGGUGUUAAAAGUGUCCACAGAAGAAAGAACCCUUUGAGGUUUCUCUUGGAAACACUAAUUUCCUGUAUACUCUCCCUCUUCAAGUUUAUCUCUAUAAUCUAUUUCAUCCCACUGUAUGUUACUCUUUCUCUCCAUCUCCCAUUUCCCAUCUCCUAGCUUUCUCUCUCUCUCUCUCACACACACACACACACAGACACAAGGAUUGCCAGAAGGUUGUUUUGCAUGGCUACUUUCUCCAUACAUUUUCAGCUUUGCUUUUAGGUGUCCUUGGUGUUUCUGGUUAGGUAUGCCCUGGUAACUCCUGUGACCACUGCCUGUUCAGAUCUGACCCUGAUGAUUCUCAUCCCCGGCCAGGUCAUUUCUUGGCUUCCUAGUAGAGUAGAGGGUGAUGUCUUUAUUUCUGACAUGCACAGACGUUUUAUAGACUUGUCACCUUCCCUGGAACUACCUGGGAGUCAAGAAGAUUCAGUAGCUCAGUUACCAAGACUGAGAAAGCACAAGAAAUAGAUAAAAAGACCCAAUAUUCUAUUAUUUCCAGGAAAAUUGAAGAGUGAUUGGUAUAGGAACAGGGUGAGAUAGGUGCUUUUGGUCAGGGGCUGCAGGCAUAUAUGUUCUGCGAGGACAAGUGUCAGUUGGCUGAAGCUGCUGUAACAAAAUACCAUAAACUGUGUGACUUCAACAACAGCCAUUUAUUUCUCCCAGUUCUAGAGACUGGGAAGCCCAUUUGGUUCCUGGUGAGGGCUCUCUUCCUAGCUUGCAGAUGGGCACCUUCUUGCUGCGUCCUCUUGUGGUGGAGAAAGACACAGCUCUAGCCUUUUCCUCUUCUUAGGCACUAAUCCUAUCAUAGGGCUUCCACCCUUAUGGCCUCAUUUGACCCUAUUCCCAAAGGCCACACCUCUUAGAAGCCUCACAGUGAAGUUACAGCUUCAACAUAAAUUUUUGGGACCACAAACAUUCAGUCCAUAAACACAAGAAAAAUAGACCUGCUCUUUUUACAUCCCAACUUGGAGUCCCAGCUCUGCCACUUACUAGCAAGAAACAUUAAUCCUCCAAACCUCAAUUUCUCCCUCUAUAAAAUGGGGCUCUGAGAAUUUAUGUUGGAGGUCUUUGUGAUGUAUAAAUGCUCAGGACAUGUCACUUCCCAUCUCCUUCCCUCAGAAGCUAGAUCACACUUCUCUUCAUCAUUUGCCUUUGAGUAAUAAGAUAUACUUUUCCAGGUUAGGCUUAUCAGUAAAGUUAGCAUUAAACUGGAAGAGUUUUGAGGACAAGUGUGUGGAUAAAGAAAAUAACAAUAUCUUCCCAGUGAAGCUAAUUAGAAAAGAGGGCAGAGAGCCCAUUUUCUCUGUAAAUGCAGCCUCUCAGUAUCCACUCACUAUCCUCUUAAGUCUUAUCAGUGAUUUCAUAAAUGUAAGAAAUCAGUGAUGAGAAAAUUUGAGUGCACUUCCCCACCCCCCUCCCUGGCCUCACUACUAACAAGUUGGGUGUGAAUGAAAACUGGGCUUUGUAAAUGCCAGGAACAGUCCAUGAUGACUAUGUGAUGUCCUUAGUAAAGAUUUGUCUAUUGAACAUAUAUUUACUUAGAACCUCCAGGUGUUGCAUUUUAAUGUGGAGGCUGGAGAGUCACAAUUUCAAUGGUGAGUAACAUAGGGCGCCGUGGCUUCAUUCACACAGUUCUCUCUGCCUUGAAUAUCCUUCCUCCUGACCCCCUUGUCUGCCUGGAAAACUGCUAUUCAAAAUUGUUUACACAUCAUAUUCUGUCUGAUGCCUUCCUCAUUCCUCCUAAGUAUAAUUACUCCCUCCUCUGAGUUCUCAUGGUGUUUGCUCAUAGUUUCAUUUUAAUAUUUAUCACACUAGGUAGUAAUGAUUUAUUACACAGGUCUCUAGGCUCUUGGACAGCAGAGACUGUACCUUAAUAAUUAUCCUUUUGAGACCUUGUAUGAGUCUCAAUAAACAUAGUGCUCAGUGAAUGAAUGAGUGAAAGAAUGGCAAAUCUCUGUCCUAGAGAACUCAGGUUCUGGUAGGGAAAGAGCAUUUAUAUUUCAUAUAGAUUCUACAACAAAAAUAAAUGACAAGUUUUAUUAUGCACAUUUUACAGAUGGGAAAACUGAGUCUUGCAGAGGUUAAAAAACUUGCUAAGGUCACACAGUGAGUAAUUAGAGGAUUGGGGAUUAAAACUGAAGCCAUUAUUCUUCCCACUUCUCCAUGGACACGAUAAACUGAUCUGAGGAUUCUGGGAGCCAUGUGACCUAAGAUGAAAUCCACAUUCUGCAGAAUUGAGAGUGUCAUAAGAAGGUUGUAGGUUCUUCCAGGUCUGGGAUAGAUGGAGGAGGCUCAGAAUGGAAAUUAAGGAGGUGAUGGCCUCUCACUGAUCAGAAAAUUGAGACUCAGAUGGGACUUGGGAUUACCUGAAGCAAGGCCAUCCACCUCCUGAGGCCAGCUCUGCCAAAUUCAUUCCCCACUUCCCCCAGGGGUGAGGGCAGCCUGAGAGACUUGAGAAGGAAGGAGAGAUCAUAUUAGAUCCAGAAUAUCUAUUUGGUAGAGUGGAAAUGCCCUGACGUUUGAUCCCAUUUACUUGAGUAAGACUUUAUAUCCAGGCAUCUCAGGUUUUAAAUUACAUGUCAGAGGCAAUUUUGCUCUCUGGAUGUGACAUGCGGGGUUGUCCUUCAGGCAAGCCAAUAUGAGCUUAGUGCUCAGCCUCUCCCUGUCUCCACGAAGGGAGGCUUCUUGGUUUCAUUCAUUCAGUAAACCUUUGCUGAGCAUCUCAGCAGGGCCAGGCCCUAUAGUAAGGGUUGGGCAUAUAGACAGGAAUAAGACAUGCUUCUUGGUCUUAAGAGGCUCUUAACAUGAUCAUACUAAUGGCUACUAUUAAUCUGUUGAUUCCUUCAACAUAUAUUUGUGGUGUGCUUACUCUGUGCAAGGCACUGGAUCAGGCACUUGGGAUCCAUCAGGGAACAGGAUAGACAAAAAGCCCUGCCCUGUAGCAGCUUAUAUCCUAACAGGGGGAGAGAGAGAGACAAUAAAUAAUAAACAUGAUAAAUAAGUUAGAUUAAGUUAGAUAAUAUGCUUGAAUGUGAUAAAUGCUAAUGAAAAUGGGAAAUAAAUAAAAGGACAGGGUUGUAGAAAUUGGAGUGCUGAGAGUGAGAGAGGGUUGCAAUUGUGAAUAGGGUGGCAGGACGACACCUUGCAGCUGAUGGCAUAAGAUGAAAAAUGUGAAGGGGGAAGAAUGAACCACAGUGAUAUCUGGGGAAAGUGAAGCAGAGAGAAAGCUCUCACAAAGGAGCUUGGAUGGAGUGUGCCUGGUGUGUUUUGAGACGCAGCAAGGAGCUCCCUGUGGCUAGAGUGGAGUGACUGAAGGAGAGAGUAAGAGAGGAGAUUAAGAGGAAAUGGGGGUGGGCACAGCCUGUGAGGCUCUGUGCACCACUUCCAGGCUGUGGCUUUGAUUCUGGGUGAAAUGGGGAACUGUAUAGAGACAUAGACAUGUUCUUCCUUACAAGGGGAGAGCUUCACUCUCAAAUUCCUCCACAGGUUGGGGCAGAGAGACCAGGGAAGAGGCUGUUAUAUACUCCAGGUAAGAUGACAGUGACUAGGUUAGCUUGGAGCUGUGGAGGUGGUGAGAGGUGGUCAGACUGGGGACUGAAGUCAUCAUGCUGUGCAAUUGAUCUCAAAAAUGCAUUUCUUCUGUCUAACUGAAAUUCUGUAGUCUUUGAUGUUGGUCAUUGAAUUCUUAAUAUAACCCCAGGAGAUAAUAUUUUUCUUUGUUACUGAUGAGGAAACUGAGGCUUAGUUUCAGGCCACUUGCCCAAGGUCAUGCUACUAAUCAGUUGUAGAGCUGGGCCUCAAACUCAGUGUCCUUCUGGGAUGAACAGUACCAUUGGUGCCAUUGGUUGACCAGCCUGCGUUGUACCACAUCAACUGCUAAGUUGUGUUGGGACAGAAUUUUGGGGGCAGAGGCAGGAUUUUUCUGGUAGUGACAGUGCAUUUGAAAUCUGGAGGGUUAAAGAAGCACAUCCCAUUAGUGUGGGUGGGUGAGCAUGAGUACUCGAUUCCAAAGGAAUCCCAGGCUCUGCAUCAGAGUUAAGGAGAGUUGGAAUCAGAACCAGAGAGUGAUAGAGGCAGGAAAGGAAACCAGGGUGUGUCGAUGCCUCCAGAAUAUUCUGGUCUUUGUAGCCCAGCCUCUUCCCCCUCUGUCCUCAUAAACCUUCCAGGGCUACACUGGUGAGUCUGACACACAGAGUUAGACAUUUUAUUUUAAAUUAUCUUCUAUAUAAUUCCAUUGGGAGGUCAGCAAAAUAGUUUUUGCAGGUUUGGGAAGAUUUCCCAGAAGGAAGGGUGUUUUCCAAAGCCCAUUGUACGCAACAGGCAGUUAAUAGGAACCCAGUGAGACUCUGAGGGCCCCUGAGUGCCCUAGCCCAGAGCAGGUAAGUAAUAAAAGGUAAAAUAAAUGUCCUGUCCACAUCUCCGUGCCUUUCUCAGCUUUGGAUAUUUGUUUCCAUGGAAGGGAACUUCUUGUCUUGAUCUUACUUCUGAACAUGAGGAAUCAAGCGGAGCAAGGAUGGAGCAACCCAGAAAGCUUUCGUGGCCAGUCCUAUUUAUAGAAUUUUCAAGGUAAAGGGACACUAAAUUACAGUUCUCAGCUGAUGCAUUAAUCUCUCCUAGCAAUCCUGACAUAUAGCCUCUUCUUGCAUGCUUUCAGUGAUAGAGAACUUCUUAGACUACUGAUGGAGAAGAGAUAGUUUACAGUUAAAAGCAAAUAGGCUUUGGAAUUAGACAGAUAUGGGGAAAAAUCCUACUGCCAUUCAAUACCUGAAUCUCUUAAUUUUUUAGCAAGUUCCUUGACUUUUGGAGCCUUAAAUCUCCCAUCUGUGAAACAGAAAUGGCUUCCCUUUCUAGUAGGUUGUUGUAAGGAUCAAGCCAGGCAGGAUAGUUUGUAGGUUGCUGCAAGGAUCAAGCCAGGCAGGAUAGUUUUAUGGUCAAAAGCCUGAGCUGAAGGCAGACUGCCUGAGUUCAAAUCUCUCUUCUGCUCAAAACCUGAAUAUUUCCGAGUGAUUUACCUAACCUCUCUUAGGUCUCAUGUUGUUUAACUCUAAAAUGAAAGUCAGAAUACAGUAUUACCAACCUCAUAAGCAGGCUGGGCUGCUGCCAGUUAAUACAUCACCUGGAUAUGCAUUAGCAAAAGGUUUUCCUUCCUCCAAGUGGACACAGCUCCACACCUGCACUCAUGAUUUGGCAAGAAGCAUGCCUCUCAGCCAAGUGGACCCUUUCUGCAGAACAUGCCUGCAUAACAGUUCACAGUGACCCUGCUCAUGGUGUUAUUGCCAUGAUUAAUUCCUGUGAGCCCCCCAGAACACUGACUCCUGUAAUAAACAUUCAACAUAAGUAGUUAUAAUCAUGUAAAAGUAUCAUCUCCUAAGACAGUCCAUUGUAUUGUUGGAGAGCUUGGACUAUUUUGUCCCUAUAUUGUCCGACGAAAUCCAUCUUCUAACCGCAGAUUUCCACACCAUGCUCUGUGGCUUCAUAGACGAAGUCUAAGCUCUCUUCUGCAACAUCACCAGCGGCACUGUUCUUGUAGAAAAUUAUUAAAAGGUCCCCAAUUCUCCACCGUUCUCUGUAUCUGUGGCCUUGGCCAUUGGACUUUGCAUCUCCUUUGGUCAAGAGUUAGAAUCCACUUUCUCAUCUCUUGAAUCUGGGUUGGCGUUGUGACUUAGCCUUUUGUGCUUCCAUUCUUUCUUGGAACUUUGCCACCACCAUGUGAACAAGCCCAGGCUAGUCUCCUGGGUGACGGUGGACACAUGAGCCACAUACCUCCAUUGCUUCAUUGAUAGCCAGGCAGAUGCCAGACAUGUGAGUGAAAGCAUUCCAGACCAGCUGUUCCCCCAACUGAUGCACUAGAUGACCACAGAUACAACAGCAAGGCCAGCUGAGAUUAGCCGAAGCCUGGCUCACAGACUUGUGAAUGAAAAUCAACGCUUACUGUUGCAUGCCUCUGAAGUUUGGGGGUUAUUUGUUAUGCUGAAAUAUUGGGGCACUAGAUAACUGAUACAGGUCUGGACUUAUUGGUGGCUGUGUCCAGACUAUGUCCUUACUGCAGAUGGAAUUCAAUUUAGUCCCUGUGAUCAAUAUUUUCCUUUCUCUAUGUCCCACUGCCCACCUAGCUCUGCCCUGUCCCUGCAGCUAGAGUGAUUAUUUGCUCCCCACAAUUCUUUCCCUGCCACCUCCUAGAUGAGACGGCGGGGACAUGACAUGUUCUGGAGAAACGCAGCACUGGCCCUGGGGCUUUCUCUCGGCUGGUCUCGAUUUCAAAGGACAUUUGAUUCUGGCACCGCCACACAGUGCUGGGCUUAAUGACAUCUCAGUGCUCCCACUGGAAAAACCCUGGUUUUUCCAAGGGUAUAUAACUUAGCUAUUAUGACUCACUCUAGGGUAAAACUGGGCAAACAAGCCUUCCUGCCUGAAGGCGAUUUUGAUUUUUAAAUUAUGAAAUAAAUCAUCCUGAGCUUUUAUGUUUUUGGGGGGUUGGUUUGUGUUUUUUUCUUUUGCUCCAAACUUCCACUGUAGCUUUCUAGCCUUGGGAUUAUUUUUCACUUGGCUCUCUUCUCAACCGAACUGUAUUUGUUUUGUAAAAUGACAAAUCACCCCUGUAUACUCCAGGCCAGACCUGUGCCGGAAGAGCAUAUGGGCACAGAAGUCAGAAGUAAAGCAACAGAGGUUAGCUUCACUUCACCAGCGGAGCUCAGGGUUCAGCAGGUAGAAGAAGAAUUCUCAAGCCAUGUAGGUAUGAGGACCGGGUUUGAAUACACACUUGCCUGAUGCUUAAGUUCCUACUGUGGUUGAUCUGUUUUUCUUAUUAUGCCUGGGUAUCGGUUUCCUCAUUUAAAAAAAUCUCUCUAGAGUUGUGAAGACCAAACAUCUUAAACCUGCAGUUCCCAACCUGUGGGUCAGACACUUCUCCAUGGCUAUGGGUUUAUUGUUUAGAGGUCUACAGUUGUCUGUAGAAUAGACAGAUCUGAUGUCUCACAAAUUCAUAUGUUCAUUUUUUAAAAAAUGUAUAAAGAAUCACCAAUGCACAUGUGAAAUGCUUAUUUAAUUAACAGGCAUAAAUUCCUUUAAAGCAUCUCCACCUUCAUCAUAGAUUGUAGCCAUUAAAUACCUUAACAAACAAUUAGUAAGUAUUAAGUACAUCACAUCUAUCAUGGAGGAGGAAAUUGGUUACAUUUUAUUCUAGAUUAUGUGUGAAGGAGUCUCUGCACAUGAAAUCUUCAGGAAGCAAUGUUCAUAUAUGAAAGGAGUAAGGGUGACUGAACAUUUGGGCAUGGGGAAUGUAUAUAGGACAAAGUAUUUUCCUCUUGGGGAUAUUGACCAGGUUUGUGGAUAGGAAUUUAAGGUGGGUGCAAAGGCUGCAAGCCUAGGAAAGCACUAGCAAAAUCGUCAGUGGCAGGAUCCUGAUUGACUGGGAACCACAGCCUCCAACCAUAAUUAUGGUGACAGCUAUCCAUGUUAAGGAAGACAAGUAUCAGUCCAAAACAGGACACAGAACUGGGAGAAGGUGACAGUCUAGCUACUCAUUGGAAAUCGCCUGUACUGAAGGAGGGACACAGUUCCCAGAGGGCUAUGGUUUAAGUAGACAUCUCUGCAGAAUGUGCAUCCUCAGCCAGCCUGCUGUCACCUCACUCAACACCUUGAACCUCCCUCUCCAUGUCCUUCCAUGAUCCCAACAAGUCAUCAGCAUGCUGAUCUCUCACAGCCUCUGCUUCCUAGUCUCUGGGGAUCCUUUCCUCACCCAAUGUCAGCCAUCCACCAUUAUGGCCCUGCUGUUUCCUGAAGCAGAAAUUUAAAAUUUUAACACCUCACUUCCCAACCACAACCUCCAGUCAUUUCCGUUCUCAUUCACAUUCUUUUCUCGGAGCCCUCUAAUCUUUGACCUUCCACUUUCUUCCUAUCCAUCAACCUCAUCUUGCCUUUCUCUCCUUUUCAAGCCUAACCCCCAUGACCCUUCGCUUUGAUCGCUCUCUUGCCAAUAUUUUUAAUUUCCUAUCCUCAUUCUCUUCCUAUCUAUCUUAUCAGCUUAUCAAGACUUCCACCUGGGAUCACCCAUCAUUCUGCCCUUUCGAAUUCUGAGCUGACAUCACCUCUGGGUAUAUCAGUGAACUACACAGACUCAGCCAACAGAAAACCAUGGAGAAGAGAUCUUGUUAUCAUUACUGAAAUUUUGAUUUUAAAUGGAAAGUUUAUUUUCAGCCAAGAAAAAGCUGGUGAGAAAGAAGCAAAUGAACCAAGUAUUUGUUUAUGUACUUCACAUUACAAGGCUGGUUAAAUGAUUUUAUUCAUUAGUAAUUAGUCUAUUCAACAGCACUGUGAAGUAGGUAUUAUUGCUCUCAUUGUUUAUAUUAAUCAGAGUGACACUAGGAAUACUGCUAAUAAUGGUAACUUGCAUUUCUUGGGCAUUUUCCAGGUUCUAGGAUCUGUGAACACCAAUGUAAAUUUCACUCAGAUUUGAUUUUUAAGUACAGAUGAGGAAAUUAAUGCUCAAUAAGUCCAUGUGACUUGCUAUUGUCAGACAGCCUGGGCUUGGCCAUCUGAUUAAAAAAACAGUGGGCUUUGCAUAAUGCUAAGCUGCUAUAGGUCAUGGGGCUCAGAUUGGAGAAGAAAUAUGAAAUAUUUACAAAUGUGAACCUGAAAGAGCCAGUUCUUCAAAAUGAAUCCCAAGAGCCUAACUGAGCCUAAAUUUAAAAUAGUCAAGCAGUCAUUUGCUAAUUAGAGGUCACACAUAUCUUUUAGUUCCCUGAAAACUCAUUCCUCUGGUUUAAACUUGGGACCUUCAGAACUCCCAAAUGUCUAAUUUGGGAACUAACCAAUCAGAGCUCACCUGUCUUGGCCAAUCAGGGAUCAACCAAUUAGAACUAAGCAAGUUUGAAUGCUUCAUUUGCAUAAAUGAACCUGGGUGUGAAUUUUCUCUAUAAAAGCAAAACUCUCCCUUUGUUCUCUGGAUGGCACCUUUCCUUUACAUUGAAGGUUGCAUCUUCCCAAUUUGCAAUCACUUCUCUGGAAUAAAGUCUCUUUCCUCAAAAUUCCUUUUUAGAGAACUUUUGUUCACAUGUGCCCAGGGUAACAGAGCUAGGAAGUGGUAAGCUUGGGAGUUAACCUAGACUGGUUUACUCUCAUAUUGCUUAUGUGGUCAGAUUCACCAAAUUGGAUUUUGUUUCUUCAGAUUUUUCUUUUGCUUUUACCAAAGUUACACUGCAGUAAAGUAACUGCUUCCCUUUUUCUCAGACUAAACUUUUUACAGUGCCAAUAUUUAUUUAUUGGUGCUUCCAACACACCCUGUUAUAUUCUGCAAAUCACUAUUUGGUGGAUAUUUACAAAUUCUCUACAAAUGGCUUGUAUGUGAAGACCUCAGUCAUGACCUCAGCCUGGUGGGCACCAGUUCCACUUUCUCAGAGCAGUGGAUUCAGGGGCCAGUGUGGCCUCUGUUUGCAUCUGAGGGUGGGUGGCCUUGAGACAGAUACCUGGGGUGAGAGUGACUGCUGUGGUUUCAGUCCAUUUCUUGGAAGAUGUCCUGGCUUCUCCAACUGGUGGACUCCUUGUCCUUCCCUAACAACGUGUCUCUAAUGUUUGUGUGACUCUGGGUCAUAGUUCCUUCUGUUUCAUGUACCAUGAAUGCUGUUUCUUGACUCUUUGCAUGUAAAAACUCACUCAAAGCCUAGCCCAAAUGUCACAUUUAUUUUCUGGGUUUUUAUAGUCCUGGGUUUUUAUAGUCCUUUGACUAACUCUUCACCUUUCUUCAUGUGAGCACAGUUUUUUUGAAGUAUACAGUUAGUUGAGGAGUGUUUGUGUCAGUCUCUCAACUUCAAAUCUCUGCUACUAGCUAUGCAAUACUGAGAAGGCCACUUAAUCCUUCCAUGCCUAUGUUUCUGUGUUGAUAAUUUUGGAGAUGAUAUUUACUUCAUGGCUAAGAAUGUUAUGCAGCAAUGUUGGUUGUGAAAGUGCUUGGCAGAUUAGAAGGUGUGGUAUUCACUGUUGGGUGGCUGAUCCAACCUUUAUUCCCAAUUCUUUCCUCCCUGGCUUCCUUUUACUCUAUAGGCUAGAAAUGCUAAAUACUCACUCUCCAGCUUCCCUUGCAGCUAAGGCUGGCUAUGGAACCUAGGAAGAACCCUAGGAAGAACCAAAGGAGCACACACGGAGGUCCUCUGGGAGGCUCUGCACAGUGCUUGAAGUGAAAGCAGUUAUAUGAUAGCAAUGCAACAAGUUAACACAAAAACAAUGAUCUCUAGCCUUUUUGUCAUGUGAUAUAACUAAUGUCUUUAUCAUGUAAGCCACUAUUAUUUGUGUAUUCCAUUACUUGUGGUUAAAAAGCAUUCCUGAUAGUGUAGAUUCCCAAUAAGUGUUUACUGAAUAUGAAUCUGUAUUGCAUUGUGAGUCUUGGGGGCAAAAUUCAAUAAAAUUAUCAUCUCUGCUCUCUACA